GAGGAAUUAGUUAAAUUAUAACACCACCUUGUCAAGGUGAAGUAAUAAGCUAAACCCUUAUAUUCCUCU
rnacentral:tRNA from 1 species